CUGAGUUUCAUUUUAGCUCCAGUCUGGUACAAUAACAUCCAGCAGGGCCAAAUCAGGAAGCGCCUCUAACCUCGCUUGUCAGGACCCACACGCAUCUCUUGUCUUGUUAGUUUUUAAAGAGCUCCAAGAAUGUCAGGUUCUGUGGUUUCCUGCUUUCUGAAAUUGCCAUAUGUCUCUAAAUAGGUUUUCUGAAAGUCAGAAUUAGCACAAAAAUACGAUAACUUUGUGCUCUGUGAACCCACCAACCUCUCUCUUUCUUAUAGUCUUGUAAACCAGCAGUGAAAAUCGCUGUUCCCUUUAAUGCCGCAGUCUGCCUGAACUCUGACCUUUCCCUGGCUCAUCUGUGGUUUUGGUGGGCCUUCGGAAGUCAAGGAGCAUUGAGUGUGUUCCUGAAGCAGCUGUGUUCUGCAGAAGAUACAGGCGGUGCAAGCCUGAGAGACGCAAAACCUUGCCACAACCGCUUGUCAACAAGACGGGGUGAAGGGGCAAUCUAACCUUCAAAAUGAAACCAGCGGUGUUCAGUGGUUUGGUUGUGCUGGAGUUUCACGGGAGCAGAAAAGACAAUGCAGGAAGCUCUAAAACACAAGUUCCCCUCAUAUCGAGCCUGCAGACCUGUGGGGACCUAAGUGUCCAAGGGAAAACUCUACUGCGGACAUGGGGUGCAUGUGUGUUAUUUUGUCCUUGGAGGUUCUCAGUGAGUGUGGGAAGCCAUGUUUCUUCCCAGGCUGAACCUAUCUGAUAACUUUUAAAGCAUUAUGAGCUUGGGAGAAAAGAAGGCUGAGUUUAAGCCUGAGGUAAGAACUGUAAACCGCAGUUCCCAGUGAAUUGUAGUCUGCGUUUCCUGCUUCCUGCGUUGCUGAGGUAACCGCUCCACCGGCUGAGAGCUGGAAGCCAAGAACGGAGAAAGGUAGUCUGGGACCGAAUGGGGCUCGAAGUGAAGGCUCAUUCUUACAGGUGGUUUGAGCUAACCUCAGAUGGUUUGCAUUGAACUCUAUUACGUGCCACCUAAGGAAUCCUGAUUAACACGCGGUAGAUGCCCUUUGAGCUUGGCCAAGGUAUUUGCUCAGAACACUCUGGAAAGCAAGGGAAGGGAUUGAGUUCCAAAGUUCAGAGCAUCAGAAAGAUAAUGACUUGGAGAACCGAGACUCCACUUUGGUCAAAGCAAGGUAUUUCCUAUUGUGAAAGAGACCUUUGAAAGCGGAAAGGUCCCAGAACUUCUAAUUUUGACUGUUUGCCUGACCACUUCUGGGGCGGAUCUGGACAGAGGGCAUCUCGUUCCCAGGCUGGUUCUGUGGCUGGAAUUUACAGAAGCUCAUUCCCAUACACCCGCUUCCUCUCUCCGCCAUCUGUUUGUUCGGCUGCCAACAAUCCAAGCUAUUAAGCAAAUGGAGAUGACACGGAAUUUGAAAACAAGCCUGCUGCUCAGCGUGACGAGAGUCACAGUGGCCCUCUCUCCUCGUGGCUCUGCUCUUCUGGCUGACAGCCUGAGGGAAGUCACUUAAGCUCUCUGGGCUUCUGCCGGGCCUCAAAUUUCUUACCGUCGAAGGACGAAGUAAAAUCCCGAGGAAACAUCUUGAAAAUGGGUGAUGCUCUUGCAGUUCUCUUAAAUUAUUCAUAACAGUGAUGGUUCUAUGUAUCAUACGUGUAUACAUAUUGUGUGUGUGGGUUGUGUAGCUGUGGAUGACAAAGCAAGGACAACUGUGUUUUAAUCUAUCACACUCUGCCUCAUUCCUUUGGGUCGGGAUAUCUGACUAAAUACAGAGCAGCGGUUCUCAACCUUACUAAUGCUUGUGACCCUUUAAUAUAGUUUCUCGUGUUGUGGUGACUCUAAUAAAAUUACUUUGUUGCUACUUUCAUAA